CAGAGUUCAUGCCCUCACGGGUAGAUCUCCCACCCUUGAAUACUAUACCUUUGUUGCUUUGGCGGGCCGCUUCGGCUACCGGCUCUGGCUGGUAAGUGCCCGCCAAAGGACCCCUAAACUCUGAACAUUAGUGUCGUCCGAGUAACUAUAUAAUAGUUA
rnacentral:misc_RNA from 1 species